GGAGGCUUAGCUCAGUUGGUUCAGAGCAUCUGCCUUACAAGCAGAGCCACAGCUGACAAAAAGUCGCUC
rnacentral:tRNA from 1 species